rnacentral:rRNA from 1 species
GAUGAACGCUAGCGGCAGGCUUAACACAUGCAAGUCGAGGGGUAUAGUUCUUCGGAACUAGAGACCGGCGCACGGGUGCGUAACGCGUAUGCAAUCUACCUUUUGCAGAGGGAUAGCCCCAGAGAAAUUUGGAUUAAUACCUCAUGGUAUUUUCGGAUCGCAUGAUUUGAUUAUUAAAGUUCCAACGGUAAAAGAUGAGCAUGCGUCCAUUAGUUAGUUGGUAAGGUAACGGCUUACCAAGACAAUGAUGGGUAGGGGUCCUGAGAGGGAGAUCCCCCACACUGGUACUGAGACACGGACCAGACUCCUACGGGAGGCAGCAGUGAGGAAUAUUGGUCAAUGGGCGCAAGCCUGAACCAGCCAUGCCGCGUGCAGGAAGACGGCCUAUGGAUUGUAAACUGCUUUUUAUACAGGAAGAAACCCUCCCACGUGUGGGAGCUUGACGGUACUGUAGGAAUAAGGAUCGGGCUAAACUUCCGGUGCCA